rnacentral:lncRNA from 1 species
GGGAUGGGGGGGGAUUUGUUGUAGUAGAUUUGUAGGGCCCGUCGGCGCCACCCCACUGAGCCCAAACACGAGGGUUCUGGGCUCAGUGGUCGCGAAGAUAGGCCCAGGGGGUGAUGGGUUGGGGGAAGGGUGUGAGGGGUAUGGCUAUGUCCCAACGUACCCGCACCUGAUAACUUUGUUGGUGAUUGCUUAUGCAAUCGGCAUCUGUAAACUGUGUUGGCUUUUUCAAGUGUAAACGGCAGCAAUAAAUUUGUAUUGUAAUUUCUAAGGUAAACCGCAGGUGUAAGUUUGUACUGUGUCAAGGAAAUAAAAUAUUUAAAUCUGCUAGAGUGAUAAACGCCAUGAAGUGGAGGUAGGCGAGGUGAAAAUUUGAAAGUACUUUUAAAAGGUUAUAAAUAUUUUAUCUUUUUUUCUGGGAAAUGGGAACUCUUGGGAUGAGAUAUAUACAUUGAUAACGAAUUUUGUUUUAAAACUCACAUAAAAGACAACUAGACAAACUUGAAAGGGCGUCAACUUCAAGAGUUCGUCCGAAACGUACGAAAUCCCACAAAAAAGAAGUAGAAGCAAAUAUACCUGUGAAUGAGCCAACUACUUCACACAGUGAUAGAAUAGCUUAUAAUUAUUAGUGUUUUUUUUUUAUAAAAUAGGACCCAAUAAAGUGGAAAUGUGGUACAACUAUUUUAUUUUUAUAUUUAUGUAAUUAAAGUAUUUGUUAUAUACUAUUCAAUUAAUUAUUACAAUAAAGCUUUCGUCUCCCAGAAAUGAAGUCGAAGAAAAUAUAUUUGUGAAUAAAUCAAAUACCUCACACAGUGAUAAAUAGGUAAUAAUUUUGUUGUAGAUAGUAAAGAGUAUAGCAUGAAUGGGCUGGCUCGAAAGGUUACUAAACCAUCUCUCAGUGGUGAAUAUCACUCAUCACGGGGUGCCCCACCGGCUUGUUUGCCAGUAUCUACUGUACAAAAUGCUUUUAUUAAUUAUUAGCUUUUUUUAGGAAGUGAAACACUAAACAUUAAAGUAAUUAAUCAAGAAAGGAAAUUAAAACCGAAAAGAAGCAUGAAUCUGUGGCGAUCAGCCACUCAUUCAAAUUACGCACCCUAACUUACGCAGCGCGCACAUUGGUGCUCGGUGUAGGUUCAAGCGUUAAGGUCGAUUUACAUCAAACGAACAUAGAGCUAGAGCUAGAACAAGAGCAUUCUUUCGUAAUCUUUUAGUGUAAACGAAAGCUAGAGGUAUCGAUUUACAUCAAACGAACAUAGAGCUAGAGCUAGAACAAGAGCAUUCUUUCGUAAUCUUUUAGUGUAAACGAAAGCUAGAGGUAUCGAUUUACAUCAAACGAACAUAGAGCUAGAGCUAGAACAAGAGCAUUCUUUCGUAAUCUUUAGUGUAAACAAAAGCUAGAUCGAAUGUUCUUUGCUCAUUCGUGUCAAUUCUGUGGUUAGUAUUGGUAGUGCUUCGUUAUGUCUGACUCUGACAGCGAUAUCAUUAUUGCAAGUGCUGCAUUUAUUAUUUUGUCGCAAAAACUCAAAAAUAAAAGAAGGAAGAGACGUUGGUGGGUUACAAAUUUAAUGCAUCGAAGGAAACUGGAUAAUGUAGGUGAAACAAUGACGGAUAUGCAAAAACAAGAAGAAAGUGGACAAUUCCAAAACUUUUGUAGAAUGGCGCCAGAGGAUUUUGAUCAUUUACUAUCUCUGACCAGCGAAAAAUUCGAAAAUCAAGUACGAAUUUUAGAGACUCGAUUCCUGCAUAUGACAAACUAGCAGUGACUUUGCGAUUUUUGGCAACUGGAGAUUCCUAUGAAAGCCUCAUGUAUUUUACUAAAAUGUCUAAAUCGACAAUAUGUAAUGCUAUAUCUGAAGUAUGUGCAGCAAUAAAUGAAGCAUUGCAAGACUAUGCUAAGACACCGUCAACAGAAGAAGAAUGGCUAUCAAUCGCUCAGGAAUUCAAUGAGAAGUGGAAUUUUCCAAACUGUAUUGGCGCUGUAGACGGGAAACACUGCGUCAUACAAGCACCUAUUAACAGCGGAAGCGACUUUUUAAUUAUAAAUCCACAUUCAGUGUGGUGUUAAUGGCCAUAGUAGACGCUAACUACAAUUUUAUAUUCGCCGAUAUUGGUUGUCAGGGCAGAAUAUCAGAUGGCGGAGUUUUCAGAAACACUUCUUUCUAUCAGAAACUACAAAAUAAUGAAUUAAAUUUGCCCAAUGACCAAAGCCUUCCAGGAAGACAACAGAAUAUGCCAUUCGUAUUUGUAGCAGAUGAUGCAUUCCCAUUACAAAGACACAUCAUGAAGCCGUAUCCUGGUACUCAUGCCAGGGGAUCCGAAAAACGAAUUUACAACUACCGUUUGUCUAGAGCAAGACGAAUAGUAGAAAAUGCAUUUGGCAUUCUUUCAGCAGUUUUUCGUGUAUUGCGAAAACCUAUGUUGCUACAACCUGAUAAAGCAUCUCUCGUCGUAAUAACCUGCGUGUACCUACAUAAUUAUUUGAUGAAAAGGAAAGCUUCUAGGAAGCUGUAUAAUUCACCGGGCAUGAUGGACAGAAUUGAAGAUGACGUCGUCAUUCCAGGCCAGUGGAGAAAUAUGGACCGUUUAUCAUCAUUUCUCCCGUUACCCAACACUGGACGAAGACACACUUUGCAAUGUGAAAAUAUCCGGAAAGAAUUUUCAGACUAUUUUAAUUUGACUAAUAUUUUGCCAUGGCAAAACAAUAUUGCAUAAUGAAAGCGAUAUGUUACUUUAUAAAAAGCGUAAAUAACCUAACCUAAAAUUAUGGUAGAAUACCCAAUAAAUAAACGUAACUACCUACUUA